rnacentral:rRNA from 1 species
AACGAACGCUGGCGGCAUGCCUAACACAUGCAAGUCGAACGAGACCUUCGGGUCUAGUGGCGCACGGGUGCGUAACGCGUGGGAACCUGCCCUUAGGUUCGGAAUAACUCCCCGAAAGGGGUGCUAAUACCGGAUAAUGUCUUCGAACCAAAGAUUUAUCGCCUUUGGAUGGGCCCGCGUUGGAUUAGCUAGUUGGUAGGGUAAAAGCCUACCAAGGCGACGAUCCAUAGCUGGUCUGAGAGGAUGAUCAGCCACACUGGGACUGAGACACGGCCCAGACUCCUACGGGAGGCAGCAGUGGGGAAUAUUGGACAAUGGGCGAAAGCCUGAUCCAGCAAUGCCGCGUGAGUGAUGAAGGCCUUAGGGUUGUAAAGCUCUUUUACCCGGGAUGAUAAUGACAGUACCGGGAGAAUAAGUUCCGGCUAACUCCGUG